rnacentral:rRNA from 1 species
GAUGAACGCUGGCGGCGUGCUUAACACAUGCAAGUCGAGCGAGUGAGUUCUUCGGAACGAUCUAGCGGCGGACGGGUGAGUAACACGUGGGCAACCUGCCUCAUAGAGGGGGAUAGCCUCCUGAAAGGGAGAUUAAUACCGCAUAAAAUUAUCGAGUGGCAUCACAUGAUAAUCAAAGGAGUAAUCCGCUAUGAGAUGGGCCCGCGGCGCAUUAGCUAGUUGGUGAGGUAACGGCUCACCAAGGCGACGAUGCGUAGCCGACCUGAGAGGGUGAUCGGCCACAUUGGGACUGAGACACGGCCCAGACUCCUACGGGAGGCAGCAGUGGGGAAUAUUGCACAAUGGGGGAGACCCUGAUGCAGCAAUGCCGCGUGAGUGAUGACGGCCUUCGGGUUGUAAAGCUCUGUCUUCGGGGACGAUAAUGACGGUACCCGAGGAGGAAGCCACGGCUAACUACGUGCCAGCCGCCGCGGUAA